rnacentral:rRNA from 1 species
UACGUAGGGGGCAAGCGUUGUCCGGAAUCCCUGGGCGUAAAGCGUGCGUAGGCGGUUGCGUGUGUCUGGGGUGCAAGUCCAGGGCUCCACCCUGGGAUUGCCUUGGAAACUGCGCGACUUGAGUACUGGAGAGGCAAGGGGAAUUCCGCGUGUAGCGGUGUAAUGCGUAGAUAUGCGGAGGAAUACCAGUGGCGAAGGCGCCUUGCUGGACAGUGACUGACGCUGAGGCGCGAAAGCGUGGGGAGCAAACAGG